UUUGACAACACACAUAAAGAGAUCAGAGAUGUCACAUCCCGGGACACAGAGUGACAAAAUGCUCACAGACCUCACAUGCUGGGAAACAGGCACAGAAACAGAUCAGAAACCUCACAUCCUAGGACACACGCCCUCGAAGAGUUCACAGACAUAAAGUCCUGCAAAACGCACCCCCAGGCCAUUCACAAACCUCGCAUCCUGGAACACACACAACACACACCCCACAAAUGGGCCAGAGUGCUCACACCCCCAGAAAACAUAACCGAAAAAGCUCAGAAACAUACCAACCAGGAAAAUAUAUCCACAAAGACCUCAGAGACCUCGUAUAUGGGGAAAUAUACCCACAAAGAUGUCAGCUCACACACUGGCACAUGUACCCCCAGAGGCCAGAGAUCUAAUAUCCAGGGACAUAAAACCAAAAACAGAUUAGAGACCUCAUACCCUCGACAUGCAUCCAGCAGAGAGACCUCACAUCCUGAGAAAUACAAGGACAAUCAGAUCAGAGACCUCAUAGCCUGGGACAUAUACCCACAAGCGGAUCAGAAACCUUUCCACCAUUAGACCAUACACCCACAGAGCAGAAACCUCACACCCAGGACAUACACAUCCAAAUAGAUUAGAGAACUAACAUCCUGGAAUAUACGCUCACAAACAAAUAAAACACCUCUCCUCCUGGGAAACCCACACCCAAACAGACUGGAGACCUCAUAAUCUCAUGUACACAAACUCAAAGAGUUCAGAUCCCUCACACCCUGGUACACACACCCAUGAACAGAGACCUCGUAAACUGCAACACAGAGCCACAAGCGUAUCAGGGACCCCAUAUUUGGGACACACAGCCACAAACAACUCAGGAACUUCACAUCUUGGGACAUAUACCCAUAAACAGUUCAGAGAGCUGACACCCAAAAACAGAUUUGCCCCUGCCCUCAAUACCAGAAAUAUCAAUAUCUGGACAUAGACUCUUGAACCCAGCAGAGACUUUAUAUGCAGGGACUCACUGGCCCAAACUGCUCCAGCACCAAUCAGCCUGGAUGCAGAUUCCAGUCACCUUCCUGAAACUUAAAACUCCAUACACUUCAAAGAACAAAUGGGAUCCUCCAAAGAGUUCAUGGCUGUGAACACUGAGACACCCAAACACCUCACACUGACAACACAGACUGCAAGGGAGCUCAGAGACUUCAAAUUCUGGACCCGAAUACAAAGUAUCUCAGAGACAUCCUAUCCGGGGAUUAAGGAUCCCAAACAGGUAUGAUCCCAUUCUAGACAUGAACCCAAAACAGCCCAGAAUCCCCACACUCUGAGACACAGAUCCCCAAAUAGUUC
rnacentral:lncRNA from 1 species